UACGUAGGGACCGAGCGUUGUCCGGAUUCAUUGGGCGUAAAGAGCUCGUAGGCGGCUGCUCAAGUCGAAUGUGAAAACUCGAGGCUCAACCUCGAGACGUCGGCGGAAACCAUCUGGCUAGAGUCCGGAAGAGGAGAGUGGAAUUCCUGGUGUAGCGGUGAAAUGCGCAGAUAUCAGGAAGAACACCCGUGGCGAAGGCGGGUCUCUGGGCCGAUACUGACGCUGAGGAGCGAAAGCGUGGGGAGCGAACAGG
rnacentral:rRNA from 1 species